GUGCUUGCUUCAGCAGCACAUUUACUAAAAUUGAACCGAUACACAGAUUAGCAUGGCCCCUGCGCAAGGAUGACAUGCAAAUUCAUGAAGCAUUCCAUAUUUUU
ensembl:snRNA U6 U6 spliceosomal RNA